AGACACUCUGUGCAAAGAACAGAGGCAAGCCUCCAGCCAGGAGCUCAUGAAAUCAUGAACUGAGGCCUCAGUGCAAUAGCUCAUGAGGAAAUGAAUUAUUUCAACAGCCAGGGUUGCUCUGAAGACUAAAGCCCUGGGAUCAUUCAUUUUAAAAGAAAAGAACGGUGACUCAUCAUUUCAAGCUUUUCAUUCUGGAAGUUGGAAGUACAAGAUCAGAUUGCCAGCAUCAUCAGAUUUGAUAUCAAAGUAAUGUCAAGUGCUUCUGACCCACUGCAUUAAACGUGUGCUGAGCAGUUGGUGGUAGAAGACAUUAUUGUGAAGGCUGCUCACCACCAAUUUCAUCACUGUUGCUAACUCCAGCUCAUCUAAUCUCUGCAACAUCUGCUACCAGCACCUUCUCUUGCCUCCUUUUGUGAACAUAGUUUUUUCUUCUGGUUAGAAAAUCAGUUCGAACUUCUUGAGUUUUGUGUUUUAAACUCUUCUCAACUGUUCCGAUGAUUGAUGGAUGGCCCAGAGGCGACCUCUUUAUCUCCAGCAACAUAUUUGGCUGUUGGCCCGGUAGAGAGGUACUCCAGAAGCUUGCUGGUUCAUCAUGCUCUCAUCUUUAACCACAACUAUUUAUCUGACUCCUUCCAUCUCCACAGCACUGUGUGAGGGAUCAGUGAUAAGAGACGGUGAAAGACAUGCGCAAAUGGAUAAAUAAUAAGCA
rnacentral:lncRNA from 1 species